UACGUAGGUGGCAAGCGUUUGUCCGGAUUUACUGGGCGUAAAGAGCGCGCAGGCGGUCGUUCAAGUCGCGUGUGAAAGCCCCCGGCUCAACUGGGGAGGGUCACGCGAUACUGAUCGACUGGAAGGCAGGAGAGGGUAGUGGAAUUCCCGGUGUAGUGGUGAAAUGCGUAGAUAUCGGGAAGAACACCCGUGGCGAAGGCGGCUCUCUGGGACGGUACUGACGCUGAGACGCGAAAGCGUGGGGAGCGAACAGG
rnacentral:rRNA from 1 species